AUUGAACGCUGGCGGAAUGCUUUACACAUGCAAGUCGAACGGCAGCACGGGGCAACCUGGUGGCGAGUGGCGAACGGGUGAGUAAUACAUCGGAACGUGCCCAAUCGUGGGGGAUAACGUAGCGAAAGUUACGCUAAUACCGCAUACGAUCUACGGAUGAAAGCGGGGGAUCGCAAGACCUCGCGCGAAUGGAGCGGCCGAUGCCAGAUUAGGUAGUUGGUGGGGUAAAGGCUCACCAAGCCAACGAUCUGUAGCUGGUCUGAGAGGACGACCAGCCACACUGGAACUGAGACACGGUCCAGACUCCUACGGGAGGCAGCAGUGGGGAAUUUUGGACAAUGGGCGCAAGCCUGAUCCAGCCAUUCCGCGUGCAGGAUGAAGGCC
rnacentral:rRNA from 1 species